rnacentral:misc_RNA from 1 species
GUCCUCCCCGAGCAGGCCCACGAGCUCGCCGCAGGUGUCCCUGAACAGGCUGCGUCGGGCACCGGGCAUCAGCAUCUCCGGCUUGACGAAGAGGAGGUACGCCAUGUAGUUGGACAUCUCCCUGCAACGGCGGGCGGUGGCGCUGGAGGGGGACGGGUCCUCCUGGAGGAGGUGGAAGCAGAAGUCGGUGGCGAGGUGCCAGACGAGGACGCUCUCGUCGAACGGCCUCGACACGCUCAUCAGUACCAUGGAUGGCACGCUGCUGUUGUUGAGAGUCCACUGUCCCCGGUAGUCGUUGAACGCCCGGAACGAGUCCGCGCCGGCUAUGUGACC